UGGCUCAGGAUGAACGCUAGCGACAGGCUUAACACAUGCAAGUCGAGGGGCAGCACGGUGUAGCGAUACACUGGUGGCGACCGGCGCACGGGUGAGUAACACGUGUGCAACCAACCCCGUACCGGGAGAUAACCCGCGGAAACGUGGACUAACAUCCCAUGAUACUCGAGAGCCGCAUGGCUCUAGAUUUAAAAUUCCGGUGGUACGGGACGGGCACGCGCGACAUUAGGUAGUUGGCGGGGUAAGGGCCCACCAAGCCGACGAUGUCUAGGGGUUCUGAGAGGAAGGUCCCCCACAUUGGAACUGAGACACGGUCCAGACUCCUACGGGAGGCAGCAGUGAGGAAUAUUGGUCAAUGGACGCAAGUCUGAACCAGCCAUGCCGCGUGCAGGAUGACGGCUCUAUGAGUUGUAAACUGCUUUUGUACGAGGGUAAACGCAGAUACGUGUAUCUGUCUGAAAGUAUCGUACGAAUAAGGAUCGGCUAACUCCGUGCCAGCAGCCGCGGUAAUACGGAGGAUUCAAGCGUUAUCCGGAUUUAUUGGGUUUAAAGGGUGCGUAGGCGGUUUGAUAAGUUAGAGGUGAAAUUUCGGGGCUCAACCCUGAACGUGCCUCUAAUACUGUUGAGCUAGAGAGUAGUUGCGGUAGGCGGAAUGUAUGGUGUAGCGGUGAAAUGCUUAGAGAUCAUACAGAACACCGAUUGCGAAGGCAGCUUACCAAACUAUAUCUGACGUUGAGGCACGAAAGCGUGGGGAGCAAACAGGAUUAGAUACCCUGGUAGUCCACGCAGUAAACGAUGAUAACUCGUUGUCGGCGAUACACAGUCGGUGACUAAGCGAAAGCGAUAAGUUAUCCACCUGGGGAGUACGUUCGCAAGAAUGAAACUCAAAGGAAUUGACGGGGGCCCGCACAAGCGGAGGAACAUGUG
rnacentral:rRNA from 1 species